CCCACCUCCAGUAGCCGGACUGCGCCUGCGAGCUCGGUCCGGAGAGUUCUUCAGGAAAUGAUAAAAACCAAACCAGAACCUGGGCCCGGUGCAGAUUGGAGCAGGUUCCUCCCAACGCACCCCCAGACAGCCGCAGCAACCAGCCCCUGAACAGCCCCCGGCUCAGCGCUGGGGGCCCAGUUCCUCAGCCCUGUGGCCACGGAAGCCCUCUCAGGACCCCUCUCGGGACCGCCCGUCCGCACACCGUGGAGCAAGGGCUACACGGACCAAGAACGUCGGGGGGUUCAUCUGAGGAGUCAGAGGAGGAGUCCAUUUGGUGACCCUCCACUCCAAGGCCGGUGACUUUCCUUGUGCCUGUGGCUUGCUGGGAACCCUCCGUCCCUGCCAUCACCUGGGACCUGGGCUUCUCCAGGGGCCACCUGGAUGUCCUGGUGCCAGAGACUGGCCAGACUGCAGGCCCCUGACCUUGGGAUCCCCAGCUCGGCGGCACCUGAGAAGCACCUGGGGGCUCAGGAGUCCUCGUGCCUGCACCACACUGGUCAGAUUCCAUCAGACAGGGGGGAGCCCCAACCAGGUGGCUUCAGAAUGCUCCGUGUCACCUGAUCCCCUCUGCAAGGGGACAGGCCCUUGCAGAAUCUCCCUGGUGCAGGAGUCCCAAGGUCUAGAGUCCAACACCCCUGGCCCAGUGAGAGACUGCUUCAGCUCUUUCAAACCCGCCACCUGGCUGCUGCUGGCCCCUCUGUGUGACUUACUUCUGGGGGCCCAAGCCAUACUCUUGGCCCCGUGGAUGCUGAGACAAGGUAGACCAGAAGUACGUCUGCGUCUAGGCAGGGCCUUGUCUGGCUGCCACGCACGAAGUCACUGAGAUCUGGAGCAGACACUCCUCUCCUCUCCUAGAGGUGGCUGUGACCUGAGUCUCGUGGCAGAUGUUCAUUUGAUCCUGUGCUCCUUGUAAACUGAAUGGCAGGGUGCAUUUUCCCUUUUCUCAUUGGCUGCCAGGGAACUCAGAGUCAAGUUUGCCAUCCCAUCCGAUGGCAUGUGCGGUACCUGAUGGUGUGUUGUGCUCUUCCUCGUCUCAUGUUUUCCUCACUGACUAAAAUCAUGUUGCAUUUUGUGCAUU
rnacentral:lncRNA from 1 species